rnacentral:rRNA from 1 species
UACGUAGGGUGCGAGCGUUGUCCGGAUUUAUUGGGCGUAAAGGGCUCGUAGGCGGCCAGCUAAGUCAGACGUGAAAUCCCUCGGCUUAACCGGGGAACUGCAUCUGAUACUGGAUGGCUUGAGUUUGGGAGAGGGAUGCGGAAUUCCAGGUGUAGCGGUGAAAUGCGUAGAUAUCUGGAGGAACACCGGUGGCGAAGGCGGCAUCCUGGACCAACACUGACACUGAGGAGCGAAAGCCAGGGGAGCAAACGGG